rnacentral:lncRNA from 13 species
GGAAAAUGACCUCAGGAAGACAUCCUAUGGGCAGACAAUGUCCCUUAAAGUUAAAUAACUUCAGUGGACAUCUGGUUUACCAAGUAGCAUGCGCCUGAGAGGACACUUAGCCCAUAAAGCUUUGAGAGUGAAAAGAACCAAGAAGCUAUGAAGAUGUGGAUGAGAACCAGGGUUGAAGGUGGUAGAGUAAAACCUCCACAGAGACUGGUUCAGCUGGAUAGAGUCAACUAUCUGUGUCUAUGACAGAGUUUGCUGAGAAUGAUGGUUUCCAGAUUCAUCCAUGUCUGUACAAUGGACAUGAACUCAACAUUUUUUAUGGCUGCAUAGUAUUCCAUGGUAUAUAUGUGCCACAUUUUCCUUGUCCAGUCUAUCUGAUAAUAGAUGUCUCAGUCUAUCUGAGAAUAAAAUACCUAGGAAUACAACUAACA